rnacentral:rRNA from 1 species
UACAGAGGGUGCAAGCGUUGCUCGGAAUCAUUGGGCGUAAAGGGCAGGUAGGUGGUCUGAUUUGUCUGGAGGUGAAAGCCUUGGGCUUAACCCAAGAAGUGCCCCGGAAACGGUCAGACUUUGAGUCUUGGAGAGGGUUGCGGAAUUCCCGGUGUAGCGGUGAAAUGCGUAGAGAUCGGGAGGAACACCAGAGGCGAAGGCGGCAACCUGGACAAGCACU